UGUUAAGGCUGCAUUACUAUAGCUCAGUCGGUAGAGCAUGAGACUCAAUCUUAAGGUCAUGAGUUCGAGUCCCAUGUUUGGACAA